GUGAACGCUGGCGGUAGGCCUAACACCUGCCAGUCGCACGGCAGCACAGUAAGAGCUUGCUCUUACGGGUGGCGAGUGGCGGACGGGUGAGGAAUACAUCGGAAUCUACUUUUUCGUGGGGGAUAACGUAGGGAAACUUACGCUAAUACCGCAUACGACCUACGGGUGAAAGCCGGGGAUCUUCGGACCUUGCGCGAUUGAAUGAGCCGAUGUCGGAUUAGCUAGUUGGCGGGGUAAAGGCCCACCAAGGCGACGAUCCGUAGCUGGUCUGAGAGGAUGAUCAGCCACACUGGAACUGAGACACGGUCCAGACUCCUACGGGAGGCAGCAGUGGGGAAUAUUGGACAAUGGGCGCAAGCCUGAUCCAGCCAUACCGCGUGGGUGAAGAAGGCCUUCGGGUUGUAAAGCCCUUUUGUUGGGAAAGAAAAGCAGCAGGUUAAUACCCCGCUGUUCUGACGGUACCCAAAGAAUAAGCACCGGCUAACUUCGUG
rnacentral:rRNA from 1 species